rnacentral:misc_RNA from 1 species
AACUUGAAGGAAAGGAUAUUGACUCCCUGUACACGACCCCAGAAAAGCUACACACUUGGAUUAAGGCUGUGGUGGAUGCUUACCAUUCCAGUCAGGAAGGUACUCUUAUAAGAGAGGCUAGGGAUCUGAUGAAUCCAAAAAUUAUCAAAAAACUGGAGGAACUGAAGAUGCUAAUUGAAGACAAGUUCAUGUGAUAAUGAGGUAAAUGAAGCAGAGGGACAUCUAGAGGACACAAAGGAUGCUAUCAUAUCAGUGGGCAAAGCAGUGGGAAGAUUUGAGUUACUCUGUGGAACAAACACGCCCUUCAUGAGGAGAUCAUAACGAAGUUGGAGGAAGCAGAUGCUGAAGCUUCUUACAAAGUUUGUGUCUGAAGAUGAUGAGUGGCAAAGCAAAUCUUGUAACGAUUUUUGAAGAUGGAUAUCAGCCUUUAACAGCCCGUACGCAUUUUUGUUAAUUAGUUAACCAGGAUUCUUGUUAAUUUGUUGGCACUUCAUGGAUGUUAGAAAUUCAAUACCAAUGUAAUACACCUGAUUUAUCAUCCAACUUCAAAAAUCGUUACAAGAUUUGCUUUGCCACUCAUCAUCUUCAGACACAAACUUUGUAAGAAGCUUCAGCAUCUGCUUCCUCCAACUUCGUUAUGAUCUCCUCAUGAAGGGCGUG